AUUAACUUUCAAAAACUAAAGAAUCGCGUUGCGCUGUCGAAUCACGUCCAGUGUGUCUCGACCUGUUUAGUCCAAUCGUUGACGAUAAUCAGGAAGCCGGAUGAACAUUCUUCAAAUAUUUUGCAACAAACAAUAUUUAUAAUUGUUUAAUUUUAAUUGAGAAGUACUUAUCAGAUCAUCUCUGUUUUCUUGUCAUUGAUUAAUUUGGCAGCAAGAAGGCAUCAUCCUACAUUGCAAGUUUACAGUUGUUCAGAAAUGGCUGAUGCGAAGGAUAAGCGCAGACAAAAGGUAAAUA
rnacentral:lncRNA from 1 species